UACCCUAAUCAGGGAGAAGUAAAGGGCGUUAGGCGUAGCACGUAACUGAUCUGUUCAUUGUGAUAUUAUGUGUGUGCAGGAUAAACUGGCAAGCUGAGGAAGUACAAUCCACUGAUCCUGUCCACACUGGCCUCUUUCAAACAGUUCCUCCUGGGUCUGGGACCGACACCUUUCAAACUAAGUCAUGCAGCCGCUGCUCCUGCUAAGGAAUUUAUCAAUGCGAGGCUGCUGGUUUCAAAGGCCAUCCAUCCCCUUGAACGUGGCGAUUCUGGCACCAGAUCUGCUAACCUCACAGUCAGUAGCCAGUUAUCCAAACACGGCCACAUUUCGAUGCUCUCUUAUGAGCAUGAGGCACAUGCACAAACACAGAGGGAAAACAAUGCGGGCCACUUCUGGUCUCUGUUGAAAGACGUUUACAUUGGUAAGAAUGGUUUUGUAUCAUAAAUGAUAGGAAUUUCCUGUGAGCGAGAGGGAUCAGAUAGAGGUACAUAGGCGCAACUGGAUACUCUGCUUGUAUGAUUUGAGAUACAUGUUGAAAGUUAAUGUGCAAGAUGAAUUACCCAGUACUAGGUGAGAAUGACAUAUUUUUGUUAUGAUGAAAGAAUUGGAGUGCAAGGUUCCAAAACACUUUGUUUUUUCAAAUGACAUUUCAUGAGCCUGUUUGCCCCAUACUGGGGACUGUGGGUACUUCUUAAAGAAAAGAAUUAAAGCAGAGUCACUGAACUUUCAAAUGACUCACUGGACUUUCAGUCAAGUGUGUGUAAAAAUAUUACUAAUUUAUAAACAACAUCCAGUCUCUCACAAUAGAUCUAAAAAGAGAUGGCUCUAGCCAGGAGGCAAUACCACAAAGGGCACAAUGUCAGGUCAGAUUUGGCUGAGAAAUCAAACUGAUAGAAAUUUUCUCAAGUUUUAUUUUUUAAACUGGAACAGAAACUUUUUUUAAUACAAAUAAACAUUGCCCAUGCAGUGUUUGCGACACAAACACUGAAGCAGGUUUGUGCCCCAGGCCCUAAAAGGGAAAUUGACAUGAAAGUGAAAGUAGACAAAAAUAAAGUUGACUAGUCUCUAUUUAUUGUCUAAGCUGAGGGAAAUGCAAAAACAAAACAAAUAGAAUAGAUAGAGAAAAGUAAAUCAGAUUGUGAAAUUUUUCCGUUAUAAUAAUCGCAGGCUGUGAUCAUGCAACUGGAUCGAUGUGGAUGCAAAUUUGACCACAUGUAUCUGGUUGCUGGAUCAGGACAGAAAUUACCUGUGUUAUCAACACCACCUGACAUUUCAGAGUACAAUAGUUGGAUUUUUUUUAAAAAUGAUUUGUAGUCCAAUAACGUCACUUUAAAGGGACACUGUCAAACAUGAUCAAUCACAUUUCUGUGUGGAAAGUAUUGGAUUUACUGGAAAUACAAACAACACCUAAAAUAACACUUUCUGAAGAAAGAUAAAAGGAAAACAUCUCGGGUUUUUUACUAUGCACAUUUGACAUCACUUUUGCAUAGUCAAUUUCACUGUUUCUCUUACUACUCUGUGAGUUUUUCCUUUGUAAAUAUCAGGAAGCAGAAAAAAAAUUAUAAAAACUUAAAGAAUUUAAAAAAAUCCAGGGCAUACUAUUUAAAAAGGUACCUUUAUCAAAAACUGGAUUUUUUUUAUAAGUAAUUGUUUUGAAACUAAUCAAGUUAACACUGUCCCUUUUUAAAGGCUAGUUGAACCUGUUAAUAUUUAGUCUUGUCACAAGAGAACAGGUGGGAACCGGUGUUGAAUCUGAACUAAUGUGGCAACCUGCUGGUCAUCUGUCCUCAGUCAGAACUGAGACUGAGAGAGAGAGAGAGAGAGAGAGACUAUGUUCUGUUAAACUGGGACUCCCUGACCUGCCAAACACCCAGGAAAAAUGAAACUAAGAAUGACAGCAGUGAUACCCCAGAGGGAACGAUGAAAUAAGCAGGACAGAUUUCCUAGUGCUGACCGUAUGGGUAGACAGGCAACAUGACUGGAACUCAGCCUCAUCUGCAGCACCACAAAAGAAAGUGACAGAACAUACACACUUGUUUGACAACACUUUUUUGUUUUUAAAGGAUUUACUGAUUUCUGGAUUUCUUCUCCCCUGUAAUUCAUAUUCAAGGGUGACCUGAGUGCCCAUUAACAAUACUGUGUGGCAACCCAAGAUCCUAGGCAAUUAUGAAGACAAUAGUGCACUCCUCUUCCGUCCUGCCACUCCUUAGGAAACAGGGAAGGGGAGAGAGCAUAUGAAAGAAAGAAAACCAGCAAAUGGAAUGAAAAUUCCACUCAGCUUCCCUCAAAGCAACAGACAACAGCAAUUAGAGACUUCUCUGAUUGAAAUACUUGAAAUGUAAUGUAAUUUCUUUAAGCAGAUCUGUAAUACAAGCAAACUUUAAUUUGUCUAUUCUUAUCCAAAGUCACCUACUUGGAAAUAUACAUAAUAUAUGGUAAGACUCUAUCAGGGGCCCUUAUGCAAGUUGUUCCAGACCAUUCUCAGAGACGCGGGUCCUAAUUCACUGGGCUUGGAAUGCCAAUUGUCUGUAUUUUUGCAACGUUUAUGUCUAUCUUAGGUACCUAUCUGGCCCUCAUUCCAUAGGACAGUAGUGUCUCACAAUCUUUAAUUUAUAAUCCUCACUGCACUCUUGUAAGGCAGGACACGGCUGUUAUCCCCAUUGUACAGAUGAGGACACAGAGAGGCUAAAGGACUUGCCCCAGGUCCCAGGAAGUUUGUGGCGGAGCAGAAAUUUGAACCCAGGUCUCCCAAGUACUAGGUUAGUGCCCUAACCAUGUGUCUAGAUCUGUGGACAAGCAUUUAUGGAAGUCAGAAUGAAUAAAAAUAAAGCCAUGCUCUGAUUGGCCUGUUGGGUUUUUUUUGUGGUGUAAUCUGCAUAAUUAAAUCCCCAAUAAAACGGAGAUACAUCACAAAUCUUCAGAGCAUCCUGAUGGGCUGAGGCUGUAACAUACACUGAUGUCCGCCCCUCCCAGCAUCAGCUCUUC